rnacentral:tRNA from 1 species
CAGGCCGUAGUAUAAUAGUAGUACGCAAGGCUGGGGGUCUUGCAGUCCGGGUGCAAUCCCCGGCGGCCUGA